AAUUAGUUCCAGUGGGUUUUCCUGCGCCUCUCAACAACGGGAGAGGCAUGCAGAGCGCAGUAGGAACUGAAAGGGGUUUGCGUGAAUGAAAAAUCCAGAGAAAGGUGUCCUGCGGAACGUGCAGGGACCCGAGUUUAAGCUUGUAAGUAGUUUGGUGCAUGGGAGUUGAAGAACCAUCUCGGUGUUCGUCUUCUGGCAUCAAGAUGAGAAUGAGAGUGCAUUUUAUUGUAUCUUUUAGGCAACCCUGGAGGCCACACCCUGAAGAGGCAGCCUCAUGAAAUGGAAGGAGCCAAGAUCUCUGAAUGUUUUGAAGCACAGCCAUCCCUACCCCACUAUCUGCAAUUGGACCUUAGUAGGAGUAAGCAAUGCACUUUUGCGUUAAGCCACUGGGAUUUGAGGUGUUACCUGUCACAGAAGCUAAUAUUACUUAUCCUACUAGCACACUCAUGAGCAAUUGUGAUGUAAGCUAUGCUAAGUGAGUACCAAGGAGGGUAUCCAAGCUCCACCUGGGGUUGGGAGCAGGUGAUGAGGAAAGACUCUUAGUACAAGGUAUAUUUGGGAUGAUUCUUGACAGAUUACAAUAAUAGCUAAUAUGUAUUGUGUUCUUCCUAUGUUCCAGACACUGUGCUAAGAGCUUUGCUAGGUCAGCCUAUUUAAUCCCCUAGGCAUUAUCUCCCUUUACACCUGGAGAGAAUGAAGUCUGGAGAGAUUAAGGAACUUACCCAAAGUCCCACAACCUUUAAUGGCAGAGUUGGACAUCAACCUUGGUGUGACUCUGUUGCCAGCAGGGCAAAGGUCUAUUCAGUCGACUGUGCUGAGAGAAUCGCUUUGCACGGGGUGUGGCCUAUGACUGGAUGUGGCCUCUAUGGCUGGCACACAGGGGCACCGCAUGGAAACGUGUGGACCGGGUGAACUGACGAAGGAAACAUGCAAAUAUGUCAUUUAGAAAAGGAAUGAAUCGGGAGCACUGCAUCCAUCAUCGGACUUCUUUAUGCAGCCACCCAAUGGCCCCUUUUGGCUGCCCUCUUGCUUUCUCUGUUCCUAAACAUCCUGACACUGAGUCUCUCAUCUUUUCAGGGACUGAGAGUUUUUAUUCUGGCUCAGUAGUUGCAGGCAUCACAGAAUUAAGUAAUGACAAAGUGAGUUAUUAUCCAGCCCUGGCUUCGGCGGGGAAUGUAACCUGCAGCCGAGAUCCCUCACUGCUGGAGCACUCACACGACUGUCUAGGUAGUGACAUGAAAAAUGUCCCCUAUAAUCCCCCAGCUCAGGGCCAUACAUCCUCAGAGUCUUGACUCCACACUUGGUGGGGAAUAACGUUGUUUUACUGAGAAGGGGAAGAGGGUGUAAUUAGAUUCCUCUUAAAUAUUACAUUCAUCCUUGUUAAUCAAAAAUUAGUAGCUCUUAAAAAAAAUAAACACAACUCAGCUCCCCAGGAAGCUGAUAGCAGUUCCCAUGGCCCAUUUAAUUACACAAAAUGAAACAAAAUGUAUUCCUCUACUCGCCUGUGGAAUUAACAAAAUGAAAUAUAAUGGUGACCAUAUCUGGGCAGUGGGAUUAAAGGUGAUGUUUAAUUUACUUCUUUAUGCUGCUUCGUGUUUAUUUUUUUUUUUGCAAUGAGCAUGUAUUGUUCAUAAC